AAACAAAUAGGGAUGAGACCGAAUGCCACUUGAGGCCUGUUGAAUGAUGAAAUUGGGUCUCGCUCUGUUGCUCCGUGGCUUUGUAUUGCUCAGGGGCGUCCAUGGGUUCAGCAUGAUAAUACGGCAGGCAGGCGGCGAAGGGCAGCCGGGGACCCGUGCGUCUGUGAGAAUGGAGGAGGCUUCGGUCUCAGCACUUCCUCUCUGAAGGUGACCAUAUGCAUUUCAAGAAAACAGAAGACCGACAUUCUGUAAAUAUCUCCUUUUGUGUUCAAUGGAAGAAUCACAGAAAAGAUGGUGAGUUGUAUUUUCAUUGUGAAUGCCCUGUUCCUUUAACAUUCGCUAAGUGACGGUUUACUUCCAUCAUUGACUCAUUGACACCUGCCAAGCUGUGAGAUGUGUUACAACACUGGCUUUAUCAGACAGGCCUUGCUGAGGAAGGAUUCAGACUGAGAACAGGACAGACUGAACUCUGGCAGUGUGAAUUAGCAGUGGCUUUUAUGGAUGAAUUCCCAGAGGGCCAUUAAGCAUCAGCCUUUUCUGCGUUAGCUGUGCAAAUGCGCGGGUUACCUACACACAAAUGGAUCUGUGCUUCUGUAAACUUUAUUAGAGAACGUAUGGAAAUGACAAACAAAGCAGGCUGCAAUUAAUGGAUAUCAUCUUUUAUUUUUCUCAAACAAAACCUUGCGAGAAGCUUGAUAUUUAUUUGAACAGGCAACCCCGGCUAUAAACCUCUGCCAAAAUAAGAACGCCCAUAUUUCUAUUAAAAAUACCGGAGAGUGAAUUUCAUGGGGCUUAUGUGUUCAGUCAUGUACAAAGGGACCUGUAUUAAGGAAGUCUCCUGAGGCGUUUUGUGGGUAAUGUGCUCAUUUGAGAUUGUUCCAGACCUCACGGACAAACCAAAAUGCCAGCCUUUCACAAUACAGUGGCUUUACGGUGCAAAAACAUAAAUGUUUACUUUGUGUAAUGACUGAACAAAGCCAUAAAGAGUGUGUAAAUGAGCAUUAUGGUUUUGUGAGGUUGCAGCGGCACGGAUGCGUUUACCUGCUCUGAUGGAGUCAGUGUGUCUGGAAACACAAGUAAUGCCUAAUGAGAAAUCAUCAUGGAAAUAAGUAUGCAAUAAAGCACUCGAGGCUGUGCAUUA